GGAGGUGUAGCUCAGUGGUAGAGCACUUGCCUAGCAUGUGUGAGGAUCAGUGCUCCAUCUCCA
rnacentral:tRNA from 1 species